AGCUUUGCACAGCAGCAGUAUCGUAGCCAAUGAGGCUUAUCCAAGGCAGGAUUAUUGUUAAUUGAAAACUGUUUUUCUUUUGUGC
ensembl:snRNA Gm27639 predicted gene, 27639